rnacentral:rRNA from 1 species
CAGUCGUACCGGCGGUAAUCAACCAUCUGGGUGCGAUCAUGUUGGGUGCGAUUAUGUGGUACGUGGGAAGAUUUUACGGUUGCAUAUUCGUGCCUUUUGGGUGUAUUUGCUCGUAUGGUAGGUUAACAUCAAUUUCGGUUAUCAUAAAUGGCCGGGAGGAAUGUAGCUUUUCCCGGAAGUGUUUAUAGCCUCUGGUAGAUGUGAUAACUGGGGAUUGAGGAUUGCACCGAAACCCUCUGGGGCCUACUCGCCCUGGGCCUCUGGGUCGUCGCUUUUGGUGGCUGAAAAGCGUGGCUUAAUAGUAACCAAGUAUGUGGUCAAAAAGUUUAGAAAGGGAUAAA